rnacentral:rRNA from 1 species
UGGGGAAUAUUGGGCAAUGGAGGGAACUCUGACCCAGCGACGCCGCGUGCGGGAUGAAGGCCUUCGGGUUGUAAACCGCUUUCAGCAGGGAAGAAGCGAAAGUGACGGUACCUGCAGAAGAAGCACCGGCUAACUAUGUGCCAGCAGCCGCGGUAAUACAUAGGGUGCAAGCGUUGUCCGGAAUUAUUGGGCGUAAAGAGCUCGUAGGUGGUUCGUCACGUCGGAUGUGAAAAUCUGGGGCUUAACCCCAGACCUGCAUUCGAUACGGGCGAGCUAGAGUGUGGUAGGGGAGACUGGAAUUCCUGGUGUAGCGGUGGAAUGCGCAGAUAUCAGGAGGAACACCAAUGGCGAAGGCAGGUCUCUGGGCCAUUACUGACACUGAGGAGCGAAAGCGUGGGGAGCAAACAGGAUUAGAUACCCAAGUAUCCCUGAGCGGGCUGGCAAGGCGCAU